rnacentral:rRNA from 1 species
GACGAACGCUGGCGGCGUGCCUAAUACAUGCAAGUCGAACGGAGUGGCGAACGGGUGAGUAACACGUGGGUGAUCUGCCUUGCACUCUGGGAUAAGCUUGGGAAACUGGGUCUACUACCGGAUAGUGCAAGAUGAGCUCGCGGCCUAUCAGCUUGUUGGUGGGGUAAUGGCCUACCAAGGCGUCGACGGGUAGACGGACUGAGGGGGUGUACGGCCACCGUGGGACUGAGAGACGGCACAGGCGCCGAAGGGAGGCAGAAGUGGGGAAUCUUGCACAAGCGGCGGAGGGCUGAUGCAGCGAGGCCGCGUGUUGGAUGACGGCCUUCGGGGUGUAAAAGCCUUUCGACAGGGACGCGGUACCUGUAUAAGAAGCACCGGCUAACUACGUGCCAGCAGCCGCGGUAAUAC